AACGAACGCUGGCGGCAUGCCUAACACAUGCAAGUCGAACGAGACCUUCGGGUCUAGUGGCGCACGGGUGCGUAACGCGUGGGAACCUGCCCUUAGGUUCGGAAUAACUCCCCGAAAGGGGUGCUAAUACCGGAUAAUGUCUUCGGACCAAAGGUUUAUCGCCUUUGGGUGGGCCCGCGUUGGAUUAGCUAGUUGGUAGGGUAAAAGCCUACCAAGGCGACGAUCCAUAGCUGGUCUGAGAGGAUGAUCGGCCACACUGGGACUGAGACACGGCCCAGACUCCUACGGGAGGCAGCAGUGGGGAAUAUUGGACAACGGGCGAAAGCCUGAUCCAGCAAUGCCGCGUGAGUUAUGAAGGCCUUAGGGUUGUAAAGCUCUUUUACCCGGGAUGAUAAUGACAGUACCGGGAGAAUAAGCUCCGGCUAACUCCGUG
rnacentral:rRNA from 1 species